rnacentral:lncRNA from 13 species
CAAUUAUUGUUAUGCAACUAUGAUGGUGCCCAUUGUGAUGGUCACAGUCUCACUGACAUGCUAGCAUGGGUUUAUGGGCAGGAUCUUGGAGCAAUAAUACUUCCUUUAUUGAAGUGUGGUACAUGAAGCCAUGGUGGUUCAUGCUGUUCUCUGGACAGUUGUCAUGAGAAGCUGGGUCAAUUCUAAGCACACGGGGUCUUCCAUGGCAAUAAUGUUGAAGAUGAUGAUAACAACAGGGAAGACAAGUUCCAGUGAGAGGACAAGAUGACUUCACAGAAAAGAAGAAAAAACCAUGCCCUCAAGUGUGAGGUUGAGGAUAUGAAGGUGCUGUAGGCCAGGAGACAACUUUCAUCGUCCAGAGUCAUGGUGUUCUGGAGUCUGGAAGUCCAAGAUCAAGGUGUGGGCAGGCACCUGUGUUGCACCGGCGCAAGUGCAGAAAAUCAACACCAAGACAAAAGUAUGCCAAAUUGCAGGGUCUUUAUUGCUGGCGGCCUCAGAGGACUCAUGUCUCUCCAACCUGUGGCUCCGAGCUCAGAGGGAGCAAAGUAUUUAAGCUGCAAAACCACAUCCUUGUUCAGGGAGGCACAGGGGUGUGCAAGGCAAGCUGUCUGUACAGAAGCUAAAGUCAGCGGUUUGUUGCAAGGGAAGGGGGGUAGCAGUGGAAAUUUUUACCCUUAACACUUCUGAGAAUUGCAGUACAGUAACAGUUCUGAGAACUACACCUCUGCCCUGCACCCAGGUGGCUUCACUAUAAGAUAGCGGUUCUCAGGCUUCUGUUUUAGCCCCUAUCUCACUUGUAGGAUGGUUCCUCUGGACCCCUGAGGUUCAGGGUGGCUAUCUGACUAGCUCUGUCCACUGAGCUUGGAUCAGAUGAGAUAGGCAUCACCUUGGCCGGAGAAUUUAACUCUCAACUUGAGAACAGUGAUUUCUCUUCCUCUGACACAGCAGCUGGCAGCAUUCAGUAUGGUAGCUGCUCUGUCAGCACAGGCCUCUGCAUACCUGGAAUGAGCAAAGCCCUGCCAAGGUCACCCUUGGGUGUGUACAAUAAACAAGACACGAACUUUGGUAUUUGAAGCCUC